UAACGCUGAGGUGUGAUGACGAGGCACUACGGUGCUGAAGUGACAAAUGCCCUGCUUCCAGGAAAAGCCUCUAAGCAUCAGGUAACAUCAAAUCGUACCCCAAACCGACACAGGUGGUCAGGUAGAGAAUACCAAGGCGCUUGAGAGAACUCGGGUGAAGGAACUAGGCAAAAUGGUGCCGUAACUUCGGGAGAAGGCACGCUGAUGGUAGGUGAAGCGACUUGCUCGUGGAGCUGAAAUCAGUCGAAGAUACCAGCUGGCUGCAACUGUUUAUUAAAAACACAGCACUGUGCAAACACGAAAGUGGACGUAUACGGUGUGACGCCUGCCCGGUGCCGGAAGGUUAAUUGAUGGGGUUAUCCGUAAGGAGAAGCUCUUGAUCGAAGCCCCGGUAAACGGCGGCCGUAACUAUAACGGUCCUAAGGUAGCGAAAUUCCUUGUCGGGUAAGUUCCGACCUGCACGAAUGGCGUAAUGAUGGCCAGGCUGUCUCCACCCGAGACUCAGUGAAAUUGAACUCGCUGUGAAGAUGCAGUGUACCCGCGGCAAGACGGAAAGACCCCGUGAACCUUUACUAUAGCUUGACACUGAACACUGGUCCUUGAUGUGUAGGAUAGGUGGGAGGCUUUGAAGUGUGGACGCCAGUCUGCAUGGAGCCAUCCUUGAAAUACCACCCUUUAAUGGCUGGUGUUCUAACGUGGGCCCGUAAUCCGGGUUGCGGACAGUGUCUGGUGGGUAGUUUGACUGGGGCGGUCUCCUCCUAAAGAGUAACGGAGGAGCACGAAGGUCAGCUAAUCCUGGUCGGACAUCAGGAGGUUAGUGCAAUGGCAUAAGCUGGCUUGACUGCGAGCGUGACGGCGCGAGCAGGUGCGAAAGCAGGUCAUAGUGAUCCGGUGGUUCUGAAUGGAAGGGCCAUCGCUCAACGGAUAAAAGGUACUCCGGGGAUAACAGGCUGAUACCGCCCAAGAGUUCAUAUCGACGGCGGUGUUUGGCACCUCGAUGUCGGCUCAUCACAUCCUGGGGCUGAAGUAGGUCCCAAGGGUAUGGCUGUUCGCCAUUUAAAGUGGUACGCGAGCUGGGUUUAGAACGUCGUGAGACAGUUCGGUCCCUAUCUGCCGUGGGCGCUGGAGAAUUGAGGGGGGCUGCUCCUAGUACGAGAGGACCGGAGUGGACGCAUCACUGGUGUUCGGGUUGUCAUGCCAAUGGCAUUGCCCGGUAGCUAAAUGCGGAAGAGAUAAGUGCUGAAAGCAUCUAAGCACGAAACUUGCCCCGAGAUGAGUUCUCCCUGACUCCUUGAGAGUCCUGAAGGAACGUUGAAGACGACGACGUUGAUAGGCCGGGUGUGUAAGCGCAGCGAUGCGUUGAGCUAACCGGUACUAAUGAACCGUGAGGCUUAACCUUACAACGCCGAAG
rnacentral:rRNA from 1 species